rnacentral:rRNA from 1 species
AUGAACGCUAGCGAUAGGCUUAACACAUGCAAGUCGCGGGGCAGCACAAGGUAGCUUGCUAUCUGGGUGGCGACCGGCGCACGGGUGCGUAACGCGUAUGCAACUUGCCCUAUACAGGAGGAUAACCCGUCGAAAGACGGACUAAUACUGCGUAUGCUCACAACUUGGCAUCAAGUGGUGAGGAAAGAAAUUCGGUAUAGGAUAGGCAUGCGUCCCAUUAGCUUGUUGGUGAGGUAACGGCUCACCAAGGCAACGAUGGGUAGGGGAACUGAGAGGUUUAUCCCCCACACUGGUACUGAGACACGGACCAGACUCCUACGGGAGGCAGAAGUGAGGAAUAUUGGUCAAUGGGCGCGAGCCUGAACCAGCCGAGUCGCGUGAAGGAUGACUGUCUUAUGGAUUGUAAACUUCUUUUAUACGGGAAUAACAAGAGUCACGUGUGACUCCCUGCAUGUACCGUAUGAAUAAGCAUCGGCUAACUCCGUG